rnacentral:rRNA from 1 species
UACGAAGGGGGCUAGCGUUGUUCGGAAUUACUGGGCGUAAAGCGCACGUAGGCGGACAUUUAAGUCAGGGGUGAAAUCCCGGGGCUCAACCCCGGAACUGCCUUUGAUACUGGGUGUCUAGAGUGUGGAAGAGGUGAGUGGAAUUCCGAGUGUAGAGGUGAAAUUCGUAGAUAUUCGGAAGAACACCAGUGGCGAAGGCGACUGACUGGACAAGUAUUGACGCUGAGGUGCGAAAGCGUGGGGAGCAAACAGG